rnacentral:rRNA from 1 species
UACGGAGGGUGCAAGCGUUAUCCGGAUUCACUGGGUUUAAAGGGUGCGUAGGCGGUUUGGUAAGUCUGAUGUGAAAUCUAUGGGCUCAACUCAUAGUCUGCAUCGGAAACUGCCGGGCUUGAGUGUGGGAGAGGUGAGUGGAAUUCCUGGUGUAGCGGUGAAAUGCGUAGAUAUCAGGAGGAACACCUGUGGCGAAAGCGGCUCACUGGACCACAACUGACGCUGAUGCACGAAAGCUAGGGGAGCAAACAGG